AGGGAAUCUUCCACAAUGGGCGCAAGCCUGAUGGAGCAACACCGCGUGAGUGAAGAAGGGUUUCGGCUCGUAAAGCUCUGUUGUUAAAGAAGAACACGUAUGAGAGUAACUGUUCAUACGUUGACGGUAUUUAACCAGAAAGUCACGGCUAACUACGUGCCAGCAGCCGCGGUAAUACGUAGGUGGCAAGCGUUAUCCGGAUUUAUUGGGCGUAAAGAGAGUGCAGGCGGUUUUCUAAGUCUGAUGUGAAAGCCUUCGGCUUAACCGGAGAAGUGCAUCGGAAACUGGAUAACUUGAGUGCAGAAGAGGGUAGUGGAACUCCAUGUGUAGCGGUGGAAUGCGUAGAUAUAUGGAAGAACACCAGUGGCGAAGGCGGCUACCUGGUCUGCAACUGACGCUGAGACUCGAAAGCAUGGGUAGCGAAC
rnacentral:rRNA from 1 species